rnacentral:rRNA from 1 species
CCUACGGGGGGCUGCAGUGGGGAAUCUUGCACAAUGGGCGAAAGCCUGAUGCAGCGACGCCGCGUGAGGGAUGGAGGCCUUCGGGUUGUGAACCUCUUUCGCCAGUGAAGCAGGCCUGCCCCUGGUGGGUGGGUUGACGGUAGCUGGAUAAGAAGCGCCGGCUAACUACGUGCCAGCAGCCGCGGUAAUACGUAGGGCGCGAGCGUUGUCCGGAAUUAUUGGGCGUAAAGAGCUCGUAGGCGGCUGGUCGCGUCUGUCGUGAAAUCCUCUGGCUUAACUGGGGGCUUGCGGUGGGUACGGGCCGGCUUGAGUGCGGUAGGGGAGACUGGAACUCCUGGUGUAGCGGUGGAAUGCGCAGAUAUCAGGAAGAACACCGGUGGCGAAGGCGGGUCUCUGGGCCGUUACUGACGCUGAGGAGCGAAAGCGUGGGGAGCGAACAGGAUUAGAUACCCGUGUAGUC